AACGUAGGUGGCAAGCGUUAUCCGGAUUUACUGGGCGUAAAGGGUGUGCAGGCGGGGUUGCAAGUGGUGUAUGAAAUCUCCCGGCUUAACCGGGAGGGGUUAUGCCAGACUGCAAUUCUAGAGGACGAGAGAGGGGGGUGGAAUUCCGGGUGUAGUGGUGAAAUGCGUAGAUAUCAAGAGGAACACCUGCGGCGAAGGCGGGUUGCUGGGCCGACACUGACGCUGAGGCGCGAAAGCCAGGGGAGCGAACGGG
rnacentral:rRNA from 1 species